rnacentral:rRNA from 1 species
AUGGAAGGGAAGUUAACAUGGUUCUCUGAAAUUGCAUUAUCUGAGAAGGGAAUGUCGGCGGCGGAGAGGGAAAGAAGGGAGCGACAACGUUUUAGCGGAACGAAGGGACAACGGCCGGAGGAGAAGGGAGCGAUGGAAGAGGUGUCCGGCAAAAAAGAGAUCUUUUUCUUCAUGGCCAGUGCUGUCAUCACCUUGGAGAGCUCGGAUGGGAUGCUGUUCACGGUGUCGGAGGAGGCGGCACGGUUGUCCGUGCCCCUCGCCGACAUGAUCGACCAGGGCUGCGCCGGAGGCAUCAUCCAGCUACCCGACGUGGACGCCAGGGCCCUCGCCACGGUAAUCGAGUACUGCAACAAGCACGCCGACGCCGCCUCUGCCAACAGCCGCGUCGAUGAGGGUAGCAGCAGCUGCAACUCCGAGGCAUCCGUGGAGGCGCUGAUGGAGUGGGACCGCAAGCUCGUCGACGGCCUCAGCCAGGACGCCCUCUGCGACGUCAUCAUCGCCGCUAAGUUCCUCCACAUCAAGGGGCUCUUCGACGCUGCCUGCCAGAAGGUCGCCGUCGUGGACCAGAUAGAGGAGGAAGACGUGUGCACUUGGUUCUCUGGACUUACUCCCUUUUCUGAGAAGGGGACGGCGGCAGCGGAGGGGGCAAGAACCAAUGGUCAACGGCCGGAGAAGAAGGGGGCGAUGGGAGAGGAGGCGGAGCAGGUUGCUGGCGAAAACGACACAUUUUUCUUCGGGGCCAGCGGAAAAAUCAUCACCUUAAAGAGCUCGGAUGGGAUGCUGUUCAAGGUGUCGGAGGCCGCAGCACGGCUGUCCGUGCUCCUCGCCGACAUGAUCGACCAGGGCUGCGCCAAAGGCAUCAUCCAGCUACCCAAUGUGGACGCCAGGGCCCUCGCCACGGUGAUCGAAUACUGCAAUGAGCACGCCGACGCCACCGCCACCGCCAAUCCCGACGCCAACCACGGCGUCGCUGAGGGCAGCAGUAGCUGCAACUCUGAGGCAUCCGGUGAGGCGCUGAAGGAGUGGGACCGCAAGCUCGUCGACGGCCUCAGCCAGGACGCCCUCUACGACCUCAUCAUGGCCACCAACUUCCUCCACAUCAAGGGACUCCUCGACGCUGCCUGCCAGAAGGUCGCCGACAUGAUCAAGGGCAAGAGCGUGGAGCAGACGCGAAAGAUGUUCGGCAUCGCCACCGACUUCACCGAGGAGGAGGAGGAACUGCGUAAAGAGAGUCCAUGGGCCUUCGAGGAGUAG